UACGUAGGGGGCUAGCGUUGUCCGGAUUUAUUGGGCGUAAAGCGCGUGUAGGCGGCCAGGUAGGUCUGCUGUGAAAACUCGAGGCUCAACCUCGAGAUGUCGGCGGAAACCAUCUGGCUAGAGUCCGGAAGAGGAGAGCGGAAUUCCUGGUGUAGCGGUGAAAUGCGCAGAUAUCAGGAGGAACACCGGUGGCGAAGGCGGAUCUCUGGGCCUGUUCUGACGCUGAGGCGCGAAAGCUAGGGGAGCGAACAGG
rnacentral:rRNA from 1 species